rnacentral:rRNA from 1 species
CCUACGGGGGGCUGCAGUGGGGAAUAUUGCACAAUGGGCGGAAGCCUGAUGCAGCGACGCCGCGUGAGGGAUGAAGGCCUUCGGGUUGUAAACCUCUUUCAGUAGGGAAGAAGCCGGCUUUCGGGUUGGUGACGGUACCUGCAGAAGAAGCGCCGGCUAACUACGUGCCAGCAGCCGCGGUAAUACGUAGGGCGCAAGCGUUAUCCGGAAUUAUUGGGCGUAAAGAGCUCGUAGGCGGUUUGUCGCGUCUGCCGUGAAAGUCCGGGGCUUAACCCCGGAUCUGCGGUGGGUACGGGCAGACUAGAGUGCAGUAGGGGAGACUGGAAUUCCUGGUGUAGCGGUGAAAUGCGCAGAUAUCAGGAGGAACACCGAUGGCGAAGGCAGGUCUCUGGGCUGUAACUGACGCUGAGGAGCGAAAGCAUGGGGAGCGA